rnacentral:rRNA from 1 species
UACGGAGGAUGCAAGCGUUAUCCGGAAUGAUUGGGCGUAAAGGGUUCGCAGGUGGCAGUGUAAGUCUGCUGUCAAAGAAUGAGGCUUAACCUCAUCAAGGCAGUGGAAACUACACAGCUAGAGUACGGUCGGGGUAGAAGGAAUUCCUGGUGUAGCGGUGAAAUGCGUAGAGAUCAGGAAGAACACCAGUGGCGAAAGCGUUCUGCUAGACCUGUACUGACACUGAGGGACGAAAGCUAGGGGAGCGAAUGGG